rnacentral:rRNA from 1 species
AGAGUUUGAUCCUGGCUCAGAGCGAACGCUGGCGGCAGGCUUAACACAUGCAAGUCGAGCGGGCGUAGCAAUACGUCAGCGGCAGACGGGUGAGUAACGCGUGGGAACGUACCUUUUGGUUCGGAACAACACAGGGAAACUUGUGCUAAUACCGGAUAAGCCCUUACGGGGAAAGAUUUAUCGCCGAAAGAUCGGCCCGCGUCUGAUUAGCUAGUUGGUAGGGUAAUGGCCUACCAAGGCGACGAUCAGUAGCUGGUCUGAGAGGAUGAUCAGCCACAUUGGGACUGAGACACGGCCCAAACUCCUACGGGAGGCAGCAGUGGGGAAUAUUGGACAAUGGGGGCAACCCUGAUCCAGCCAUGCCGCGUGAGUGAUGAAGGCCCUAGGGUUGUAAAGCUCUUUUGUGCGGGAAGAUAAUGACGGUACCGCAAGAA